UGGAGCAUAACAGGUCUGUCCAGUGU
rnacentral:piRNA from 1 species